UUUUUUUUUUUUUUUUUUUUUUAAAGUAAGGACAUAUCCCUACUAUAGGGAACACUGUAGCAUACAAAAUGCAGCUAUAGAAUUUUUACGGUACUCCGACACACAUCAACAUAACAAUGCUACACUCCACAUUAAAAACUGAUUUUUGGUAUUUACUAAAAUGCACAUAUGCACACUCACAUUAACGUACAGAAAAAAAGAAAGAAAGAAAGUACUGUCUUACAUGGCAAGGGAAAAAUCAAAAUAAGAUCCUAAGACGUUUCAUAAUAUCCUGGCGACCAUAUCCCGUACAUUUCAAAACCGCCUUAGUCAUCUGGGGCGCCAGUUGUUCAUCAGAUACAGCACUUGACACACUGAGGCAUGGCAUGAAUGACAAUUACUGUUUUGGACACAAAUCUGGACACAUUACACACAGGAUCCAAUACCAGUCAACCUCCCAUAACAAAUCAAUUUUUCAAAAUAAAGGUUACACUCAAUGUUUAUUCUGUGUUAAGGAUGGGAAGUCAAAGGAAACGGGAACGAGUAACGUUAAAAUCCUUAUGCCUUAGUUUAGUGCUUCCACAGGAGCAAUGAGCAGAUUUUAUUAAAUUUAACCUAAUUUUGCUAUGGCAACAGUUGUAUCACUUGAGAUCAUACUCCAGGAGGAACACAGUAUUUACUGUCUCAUUCCAGCACUUUGACCUUUUCAUGGUUUGACUUAAAAGCCAUGGUUUUUAAUGCCCGUGAGACAUAUAUGUGUGUGUAUAUACAUACAUAUGUACAAAGAGAGAAAUUUAGUAAUGAUUAAAACAUCUAUAAUAAAUCCAGUGCAUGACCCUUCUUUGGAAGCUCUUUUGUGACAUGAAGCUUAGUCAGUGGUUAGAGGGUUAAUGAAGAAAAUGGAUCACUGGACUGAAAAUAAAAAUCACUAUCAAAAAAAAUGCAAUGCCAAGAGAAUUAGGCACUACAUAAUAUUGUAACCACUGAGAAUUCUCAACAGUAAAAUAAAGCCUUGUAGUCCCAGCAUUUUCAUUAGUUUUCCAGUAGCGCUGGAUGCAGUGUGAAUUACAAUGAGGCAGAAAAGCAAUGGCUGCUGCCUUUCAAGAAGGUACACUACGGAGAAGGAAAGCCCCCCUUGCCCAGGGAUGGUUACUGGCCUAGCACACCACUAUGUGUUCUAAAUUUUGGUACCUUAAAACAUCUCCUGUAACAAAAUACUACCUUUAUUCUGCAAGAGGAUAAAUACUAAAUAGCCUCCACAAUGAAACAUGUUGCACUGUACAUUUUCACUUAAAUAUACAGAAUUCUAUGUAUCAGUUAAAACGUGCAACAAACCUUGAAUUACACAAUUUGGAAUUAGAAGUGUGUUUAAAUUGUGUCUAAGCAGAUGUAAAAGUAACAUAAAGGGUGACCGAAACCCAUACAAAGAAAAACAAAUUCAGGUUCUAUUACCUGCGAGACUGUUUCAGUUCAAAAGGAGAAAGGUGGGGGGGCAGAGAUGCACAGAGCACUGAGAAGUGAAACGCGACACUAAAUCAGAUUUUACAACACGGAUUUGUGUUUUACUCUUGCGUCAGUGCCUAUUCUCCCAAUCCUAAAAAUAGCACUACUUUUUUUGAAUGACUGACUUGGAAAAAAAUUUAAAGGUCAAAUAUUGCAUUAACAGACCUGUGCUUAAGUGUAAGGCUGAGAGAGAACGUGCCAGAUCAUAGAAGAAAAAACAAGAGUUAACACUGUUUUACCCACUGCAAUGAGAAAGUGUCAGAACCUUAUACUAGCUUCUGUCCUCAUCAUCCUACGUGUGUAACCCUUUCCAGUUCACUUAAACUGAAGAAUUAUUCUCAAUUUCUGCUGAAAUAUGAAUAACACUGUCUGUAAGCCAAAUUAUGAUGCUUUUCCUAUACAUAUGUUACUAAAGCGUUAGUCACGAAGGAAGAUGCAGAAUUAUAAAACACAAUCCCUGCUCUCAGGUCAGUGUGGUUAGGGUUAUAUAAUGAAAUAUAACCAUAGAGGCAAAUUCAAUACAGUUGUGGUCCUCAGCUGGGCAACGGCAAGGCUCUGGGGAAUUAUUUACCUAGAGAGCCAUCUCAACCUACCAGGCUCACGGCACUGCUAUGUCCUCUUAGAGGUUGGCCCUAGUGUUCCAUAUUCCUCACACUCCUAGAACCUCUACUUGAACUUCCUUUGCAGAGCAAAUUCCUAACCUCGAGGCAGGAAAGUGCUGAGAACAGGAUGCUUGGAAUCAAUACAAGGGGUUCACAUAUCCUUACCUGCGCCAGCCUCUCUCUACAGCUGUGCGGUCCGGCAUGGGAGCCAUGAGCCACGAGAGGUUUCUGAGCACUUGCACUAUGGCUAGUGCAACCGAGAAAGUGAAUCUGGUUUUUUUUUUUUUUUUUUUUUUUUGUCUUUUGUCUUGUUGUUGUUGUUGUUGCUAUUUCUUGGGCCGCUCCCGCGGCAUAUGGAGCAGACCAAGAAACGGCAAAAAAAAAAAAAAAAAAAAAAAAAAAAACAGAAACACUACAGUAAAUAUACAGCACAUCUUUGAAAGUAAAGGUGUAGCAUGAAGAAGGCUGGAAGAAGGGUGUCUAAGUUACAGAAAUGCACAGAGGAUCGACAGAAUUGGGACAACACCAAGGGAAGGAGGACAGCAUGGGAAAGGGCCUCAGGCUCCCACUGAGCUCUUUCCAUGCUGCCUGGGGCUGUGUAUUUAGGUUACUGUGCUUUGGGUUCAGUUGCUACUACUUGGUGACAAAACCCACUAACAUGUCAAGAAAAAUAAGCCAAAGAGACUGCCACAUUCAUUCAAUAUCAUUCCCUACCUAUCAAGUGUCUAUGAAUUCAUUCUUAUGAUAGAAACCUGAAGAGUAACAAAAAAAGACUGCAUUUGUCACCCCAAGCUCUUUUUUGGUGACCUUGAACCACCUGGAAUAACUCUGGCCACAGCUCUGCUCCCACCCUGGUUUGUCAAAACGAUGCCCAUUGUCCAAGGCUUUUCCCAACUGUCAUCUCCUUUUCUUAAGCCUUUCCUUAUCAUCCUCACCUCACACCAACAUGUCAGAGAUACUGGCUUUUUCUUUCUUCUGGAGAUAUUUUUAUUCACACGUUGCAUAAAAUUUAAAACAUGUACUCGUUAUUAUUUUUGUUGAUGUCGUCGUUACCAUUUUCAGUAGGGUGGCUCAGAGGGCUGAUGGGAAUUUGCAGAGGAGGGCUAAAAUUUCCCAAGACUUGGCAACCUCACUACGAACUGGAUUUUAGUCUCGAUUCUGCCACUGGCCUCCUGGCCGAUCUGGGGCACGUCGUUCACCUUCUCUGGGCUUCACAAACAAUCUCAUUUUUCCAAAUGUCUUUACUGAGUGUUGUACCCACCAAAGUGAUUGAAAGCCCCUGUAAACUUUUAAAUAUCUAAACAACUCUAAAAAGAAGUGAGAGCAGCUACACAGCCUCCUAGACUUUUUUCACAUGAACAUAUGUAAACAUCAAAGCAAUUUAAUCUAGAUUAUGCAUACCAUAUGGCGACUUAGUUUAUUCCCUAAAAUUUUGAUUUCGGUACAUAUAUUAAUCUCCAUUUGUUUUAUCUACCACAUUGUAAGGAAGAAUUAUAAUUUAACAACCUCCUAUUGAUGAAAACAUCCUUUAAGGUUUAAGCUUUUCUUAAAACUAGGAGAGUAAUGCAAGCACAUAGUUUUUUUAAGUAUAAAAUGAAAAUCUUCUUUCCUCCAAUACUACUCUCUCUGGGGAAAAAAAAAAACUAAAAUUUUUUUGUUGCAAUUGUUCUUCAGAUGGCUACCAUCAGAGUUUUAAAUAAUGCAUUUCUGUAUUUCUUGAUUUUUCUUAUUAUUUUACACUGCCAUAAAUUAUUAAAUUUUUUUCCAUUAAUAGAACUGGUCCUCUGUACUUUCUCAGUAGUGAUUUUAGGGGACUAACAACCAACAGACGGCAUUUACAAUAUUCUAAUCAUAUAAAUAUUAUUGACCACAGAACUAAGUAUUGUGGCUAGGUGAAUAGACCGACAGAGGAAGAAACGCC
rnacentral:lncRNA from 1 species